AACGAACGCUGGCGGCAUGCCUAACACAUGCAAGUCGAACGGGAUCCUGGUUUCGGCCAGGUGAGAGUGGCGGACGGGUGAGUAACGCGUGGGAACCUGCCCAGUGGUGGGGGAUAACUGCGGGAAACUGCAGCUAAUACCGCAUGAGCCCGCAAGGGGAAAGAUUGAUCGCCAUUGGAGGGGCCCGCGUUCGAUUAGGUAGUUGGUGAGCUAACGGCUCACCAAGCCUACGANCGAUAGCUGGUCUGAGAGGAUGAUCAGCCACACUGGGACUGAGAUACGGCCCAGACUCCUACGGGAGGCAGCAGUGGGGAAUAUUGGACAAUGGGGGCAACCCUGAUCCAGCAAUGCCGCGUGAGUGAUGAAGGCCUU
rnacentral:rRNA from 1 species